rnacentral:rRNA from 1 species
UACAGAGGUCCCGAGCGUUGUUCGGAUUCAUUGGGCGUAAAGGGUGCGUAGGCGGUUUCCUAAGUUUGAUGUGAAAGCCCGGAGCUCAACUCCGGAACUGCCAUUGAAACUGUGAGACUUGAGUACGAGAGAGGUGAGUGGAAUUCCCAGUGUAGAGGUGAAAUUCGUAGAUAUUCGGAAGAACACCAGUGGCGAAGGCGGCUCACUGGCCCGUUACCGACGCUCAGGCGCGACAGCGUGGGGGAGCAAACAGG